rnacentral:piRNA from 1 species
UGAAUGGAAUGAUGGCCAUGAAGGCA